GUCGAGCGGACAGAAGGGAGCUUGCUCCCGGAUGUUAGCGGCGGACGGGUGAGUAACACGUGGGUAACCUGCCUGUAAGACUGGGAUAACUCCGGGAAACCGGAGCUAAUACCGGAUAGUUCCUUGAACCGCAUGGUUCAAGGAUGAAAGACGGUUUCGGCUGUCACUUACAGAUGGACCCGCGGCGCAUUAGCUAGUUGGUGAGGUAACGGCUCACCAAGGCGACGAUGCGUAGCCGACCUGAGAGGGUGAUCGGCCACACUGGGACUGAGACACGGCCCAGACUCCUACGGGAGGCAGCAGUAGGGAAUCUUCCGCAAUGGACGAAAGUCUGACGGAGCAACGCCGCGUGAGUGAUGAAGGUUUUCGGAUCGUAAAGCUCUGUUGUUAGGGAAGAACAAGUGCAAGAGUAACUGCUUGCACCUUGACGGUACCUAACCAGAAAGCCACGGCUAACUACGUGCCAGCAGCCGCGGUAAUACGUAGGUGGCAAGCGUUGUCCGGAAUUAUUGGGCGUAAAGGGCUCGCAGGCGGUUUCUUAAGUCUGAUGUGAAAGCCCCCGGCUCAACCGGGGAGGGUCAUUGGAAACUGGGAAACUUGAGUGCAGAAGAGGAGAGUGGAAUUCCACGUGUAGCGGUGAAAUGCGUAGAGAUGUGGAGGAACACCAGUGGCGAAGGCGACUCUCUGGUCUGUAACUGACGCUGAGGAGCGAAAGCGUGGGGAGCGAACAGGAUUAGAUACCCUGGUAGUCCACGCCGUAAACGAUGAGUGCUAAGUGUUAGGGGGU
rnacentral:rRNA from 2 species